rnacentral:rRNA from 1 species
GAUGAAUGCUGGCGGCGUGCCUAACACAUGCAAGUCGAGCGGCAGCGCGAGUAGUUUACUACUUGGCGGCGAGCGGCGGACGGCUGAGUAACGCGUGGGAACGUGCCCCACAGUGAGGGAUAACGCACCGAAAGGUGUGCUAAUACCGCAUAUGGUCUUCGGAUUAAAGAAUUUAUUCGCUUUGGGAGCGGCCCGCGUCGGAUUAGGUAGUUGGUAGGGUAAUGGCCUACCAAGCCGACGAUCCGUAGCUGGUCUGAGAGGAUGAUCAGCCAGACUGGAACUGAGACACGGUCCAGACUCCUACGGGAGGCAGCAGUGAGGAAUCUUCCACAAUGGGCGAAAGCCUGAUGGAGCAACGCCGCGUGCAGGAUGAAGGCCUUCGGGUUGUAAACUGCUUUUAUAAGUGAAGAAUAUGACGGUAACUUAUGAAUAAGCACCGGCUAACUACGUGCCAGCAGCCGCCGUAA